UGCCAGCCGCCGCGGUAAUACAGAGGGUGCGAGCGUUAAUCGGAAUUACUGGGCGUAAAGGGCGCGUAGGCGGCUUGGUAAGUCGGAUGUGAAAGCCCCGGGCUUAACCUGGGAAUUGCAUUCGAUACUGCCCGGCUAGAGUAUGGUAGAGGAAAGCGGAAUUCCGGGUGUAGCGGUGAAAUGCGUAGAUAUCCGGAGGAACAUCAGUGGCGAAGGCGGCUAACUGGCUCGGUACUGACGCUGAGAUGCGAAAGCGUGGGGAGCAAACAGGAUUAGACA
rnacentral:rRNA from 1 species